UGGCAAUGAGGAGGCACCUGCUGUGCCGAACUACAACGAUCGUUCAGACGCUACUUUGAGCCAGCA